rnacentral:rRNA from 1 species
AUUGAACGCUGGCGGCAGGCCUAACACAUGCAAGUCGAACGAGUGGCGGACGGGUGAGUAAUGUCUGGGAAACUGCCCGAUGGAGGGGGAUAACUACUGGAAACGGUAGCUAAUACCGCAUACCAUCGGAUGUGCCCAGAUGGGAUUAGCUAGUAGGUGGGGUAAAGGCUCACCUAGGCGAGGAUCCCUAGCUGGUCUGAGAGGAUGACCAGCAAAACUGGAACGGGGCCACGGUCCAGACUCCUACGGGAGGCAGCAGUGGGGAAUAUUGCACAAGGGGGGCAAGCCUGAUGCAGCCAUGCCGCGUGUAUGAAGAAGGCCUUCGGGUUGUAAAGUACUUUCAGCGGGGAGGCGUUACCCGCAGAAGAAGCACCGGCUAACUCCGUGCCAGCAGCCGCGGUAAUUC